rnacentral:rRNA from 1 species
AUGGCAUUCUCCUUCUUGCCUGAACUACUACACCUAGUCCUAGCACUACUUUUCCUUGUCUUCGUUAUCAAAUGUAGGAGAUCAAGCAAUCCAUUGCUGCCAACGGAAUUGCCUAUCAUUGGCAUGCUCCCUAGCCUUAUCGCCAACUGGAACAACCUCCAUGACUACGCCGCAGCCGGCUUGUCCGCCUCCGGGCACAACUUCGAGCUACGCGGCCCUCCGGCCACCAGCGUACGGUACCUCGUCACCUGCAGCCCGGCCAAUGUUCGCCACGUCUUCACCACCAACUUCACCAACUACGUCAAGGGCGAGGAGCUCGCUGCGGUCCUUGGACUACUGGGUGGCACUAUAGUCACUGCCGACGGCGAGUCCUGGCGCCUGCAGCGCGACACCAUCCAUCGUGUCCUCACCAGGCCGCGGCUGCUGGCCUCCCUAUCCCGCUGCUGCCGCGACAAGGUGGCAGGGGGCCUAGUGCCACUGCUAAGCCACUUGGCGGACGGCCGUACCACCUUCGACAUGGAGGAUUUGCUUGGGAGGCUCGUGCUCGACAUCACUGUGAUAGUGGUGUUCGGCUGGGACCCCUUCUGCUUGGCCGCGUCGAUGCCACCCAUGCACGUUGCCGCGGCCCUGGAUACUCUAAUGGAGGUGGCCAUGCGCCGGCACAUAUUGCCUGUGUCCUGCUGGAGGACGAUGAGAUGGCUCAACAUCGGCCAGGAGAGAAAACUAGCCAAGGCAGAAGCGGUGUUGUACAGGUUCGUGGCGGAGAGCAUCCAAAAAAAGAUGGCCAGUGACAGCACGGGCACGGGGGAUGAUAUCAUCUCCUAUUACAUCAAUGACCCCAACCCGGACCCGGAGUUCCUUAACCGGGACAGAGAGCCCACUGAUUUCCUCAUCAGGACAUUCAUCAACUUUAUGGUAGCCAUGCGUGACCCGAUGGGGUCAGCGUUGUCGUGGCUCGUCUACAACCUAGCCACACAUCCACACGCCAUGCUUGCCAUCCGCGAGGAGUUGGCGCCGAUCGUCGCCACACGCAAAUCAGGCGACGGUGUUGUGGUGUUUGAUCCAGACGAGACCAAAGAUCUAGUGUACCAGCGAGCGGCCAUGUUCGAGUCGCUGAGGCUGUACCCGAUCGCGCCCAUGGAGCGCAAGGAGGUCGUCGCCGAUGACCUUCUGCCUAGCGGCCACAAGGUGCAGGCCGGCAGCACCAUCCUGAUCUCGACCUACAGCAUGGCGAGAUUGGAGCAGGUGUGGGGAGAUGACUGCCGGGAGUACAGGCCGGAGAGGUGGCUGUCGUCCAACCAAGACGGGAGCGGCCACACGCUGCGGCACGUGCCGUCUCACGUGUUCGUAGCGUUCAACACCGGACCGAGGGCAUGCCUCGGCAAGAACAUCUCCGUGGCGCUGGUGACAUCCAUCGUUGCCACGGUGGUGUGGAACUUUGAUGUGGAGCUACUGGAUAGUAACACCGUGAAGCCCAAGCUGUCGGUUAUUCUGCAGAUGAAGAACGGGCUCAUGGCCAAAGUUAAGAGGAGACCAGAGGACGACUGA